GAUGAACGCUGGCGGCGUGCUUAACACAUGCAAGUCGAACGAUGAAGCCCAGCUUGCUGGGUGGUUUAGUGGCGAACGGGUGAGUAACACGUGAGUAACCUGCCCUCAACUAUGGGAUAAGCCUGGGAAACUGGGUCUAAUACCGGAUAGGAGCGUCAACCGACUGGAGGGUGUUGGAAAGAUUUAUCGGUUUUGGAUGGACUCGCGCCGUAUCAGCUUGUUGGUGAGGUAAUGGCCUACCAAGGCGACGACGGGUAGCCGAAGGGAGAGGGUGAUAGGCGGCAUGGGAGGUGGACCGGGGACACGGGGACUGAGGCACGGACCAGUCGGGUACGGUAGGCAGUAGUGGAGAAUAUGACACAACGGGCGCAAGUCUGAUACGGCGGCGUCGGGUUAGUGAUGACGGCCUUCGGGUUAUGAACCUCUUUCAGUGGGGAAGAAGCGAUAGUGACGGUACCUGCAGAAGAAGCACCGGCUAACUACGUG
rnacentral:rRNA from 1 species